rnacentral:rRNA from 1 species
CACCUCUUGAUAAGAGGCACCGCCUGCCCAGUGAUAUUCAACGGCCGCGGUAUCCCUACCGUGCUAAGGUAGCGUAAUCACUUGUCUUCUAAAUAAAGACUAGUAUGAAAGGCACCACGAGGAUUAAACUGUCUCCUUCCUCUAAUCAGUGAACCUAAUCUCCCCGUGAAGAAGCGGGGAUAUUUCUAUAAGACGAGAAGACCCUAUGGAGCUUAAAACACUCUACACGAGCACGCUGAUUAUAUGUUUUCGGUUGGGGUGACCACGAAGAAUAAAAUAUCCUUCAUGAUGAAAAACAACAAGCCACGACUUUACUUAUCAAUAAAUUGACAUUCAUUGACCCAAUAACUUGAUCAACGAACCAAGUUACCCUAGGGAUAACAGCGCAAUCCACUUUAAGAGUUCAUAUCGACAAGUGGGCUUACGACCUCGAUGUUGGAUCAGGGUAUCCCAGUGGUGCAGCCGCUACUAAAGGUUCGUUUGUUCAACGAUUAAAACCCU